GAUGAAGAACGUAGCGAAAUGCGAUAAGUAAUGUGAAUUGCAGAAUUCAGUGAAUCAUCGAAUCUUUGAACGCACAUUGCGCCCAUUAGUAUUCUAGUGGGCAUGCCUGUUCGAGCGUCAUUAAUUCCACUUAAGCCCUGCUUAGUGUUGGGACUCUACUCUAGUGGUGCUACCCUGGAGCUACCCCUGAAAGGGGGCUGGCCCGGUAGCUACCCUGUAGUUCCUCAAAGAUAGUGCGCGGAGUUGCGUGGUCCUCUGAGCUUAGUAACUAUACACCUAGCUUUUGAGUGUCCCGCGGCGCCUGCCGUUUAAACCCCAUCUUUUAAUGGUUGACCUCGGAUCAGGUAGGAAUACCCGCUGAACUUAAGCAUAUCAAUAAGCGGAGGA
rnacentral:misc_RNA from 1 species